CCGAGUUAUACAACUCAUCAACCCUGUGAACAUACCCUAAAACGUUGCUUCGGCGGGAACAGACGGCCCUGUAACAACGGGCCGCCCCCGCCAGAGGGACCCCUAACUCUGUUUUUAUAAUGUUUUUCUGAGUAAACAAGCAAAUAAAUUA
rnacentral:misc_RNA from 1 species